AGGAAAUAUCACAUUCUAGUCAUCUUUUCUGAUGGGCAGAUUGCAAGGGAGAAUAAUUUACAAGAUGAAAUGCUUAGUCCACAGUAACAAGAAACUAUAGAUUGUAUAGUUGAAGCUAGCCAAUAUCCUCUCUCAAUUAUUUUGGUUGGUGUGGGCGAUGGGCGAUGGCCCAUGGGAUGCUAUGCAAAGAGUAGUUAAUAA